UACGUAGGGUGCGAGCGUUAAUCGGAAUUACUGGGCGUAAAGCGUGCGCAGGCGGCUUUGCAAGACAGAUGUGAAAUCCCCGGGCUCAACCUGGGAACUGCAUUUGUGACUGCAAGGCUAGAGUACGGCAGAGGGGGAUGGAAUUCCGCGUGUAGCAGUGAAAUGCGUAGAUAUGCGGAGUAACACCAAUGGCGAAGGCAAUCCCCUGGGCCUGUACUGACGCUCAUGCACGAAAGCGUGGGGAGCAAACAGG
rnacentral:rRNA from 1 species